UUUACCUUCGAAACAGAAUAUAAUCUUGAAAAUCACACAUAAUUUCUUGCUGUGUUACUUUUAUAUAUUUAAAUCAUGUUGACAAAACAUGAAAUAGUUAUGCUUGAUCCUUUGCCCCUUAAUUUUGGAUAAGUAAACCCCAUCGGUGAAGAAGAAUUCCAGGAGGAGAAACUUUGCCGUCAGCCAUUUUAGACAAGCUACAAGCACCUGCUGGCUGGAGGAACUUAAAAAAGAGCUCAUCACACAACACUUCCAACUGCUCCUCCCUGAUCAUGCUGGGCUCCAGUCUUCACUGAGUCAGACUGCUGAACUUCUCGCCAAUAUAAGCAAGUUCUGGGGUUUAUUCAAAGUAUAGAAUGAAGACCAUCCAGCAAUCCAGGAGGCAAUCGAGGACACCACGGUGGGAAUUUCCCUCCUAAUGGAAACUGGCAGUGGUGAGGAAGAGGACAUUCUCGUGGUCCACAUCUCCCAGGCUGUG